UACGUAGGGUGCAAGCGUUGUCCGGAAUUAUUGGGCGUAAAGAGCUCGUAGGCGGUCUGUCGCGUCGGAUGUGAAAACCCAGGGCUCAACCCUGGGCCUGCAUUCGAUACGGGCAGACUAGAGUUCGGUAGGGGAGACUGGAAUUCCUGGUGUAGCGGUGAAAUGCGUAGAUAUCAGGAGGAACACCAGUGGUGUAGACGGCGUUCUGGACGAGUACUGACGCUGAGAUACGAAAGCGUGGGGAGCAAACAGG
rnacentral:rRNA from 1 species